rnacentral:rRNA from 1 species
GAUGAACGCUGGCGGCGUGCUUAAUACAUGCAAGUCGAGCGAACGGACGAGAAGUUUGUUUCUCUGAUGUUAGAGGCGGACGGCUGAGUAACACGUGGAUAACCUAUCUUCAAGACUCGACUAACUUCGGGGAACGGGAGCCAGUACCGAAUGAUCUUUAGAACUGCAUGGUUCAACCUGGAAUGACGAUCUUGUUGUCACUGAUAGAUGGUUCCGCGCUGCCCUAGCUAGUUGGUAAGGUAACGGCUUACUAAGGAAACGAUGAAUAGCCGACCUGAGAGGGUGAUCGGGCACACUGGAACUGAGACACGGUCCAGACUCCGACGGGAGGCAGCAGUAGGGAAUCUUCCUCUAUGGGCGAAAGCCUGACGGAGCAACGCCGCGUGCGUGAUGAAGGUCUUCGGAUCGUAAAACUCUGUUCUUAGGGAAGAAGAGAUGUGUAAGUAGCUGUGCACAUCUUGACGGUACCUGAUCAGAAAGCCACGGCUAACUACGUG